GGCAGGGUGACCUAGGGGGUGGGCAUAGCUUGCUUAGCAGGAGGCUGCACUAUAUAACGGUGUGACCGCUCAGAGCACCACCAUCCUGAGGCCCGCUGGGUGGGAACUCAUCCAAGUCGAGCUCACUUGCCCGGGAGCACUGCAGGGAAAUCUGUGUAGAGCCUUGAAAUGGAAAAUGCACGGAUACAACUUGGGAGCCUGACAUGCUCAUCCUCGUCUACGGCCAAACGUUGGUUUCUCAUUUCUAGAAGAUGAAAGAUGUGAUGACUCAGGAAAAACUUGCUGCUCGAGAUGUGAGUCUUCAGAUGUUCCUGCCGCCAUAUCUGACAGCUGCUGCCAAGAUUCCCUGGUGGGAUGGACUCUUAUACCUCAACAACCAGAAGCCCAAGUAAACUCUUCUAUAAAUUGAAUGACUCAUGCUUAAAAAAAAAAACAAAAAACAAACUAUCUUUAUUUUGUGUGCAUUGGUGUUUUGCCUACAUAUAUGUCUGUGUGAGAGUGUCAGAUUCCUUGGAACUGUAGCUACAGAUAGUUGUGAGCCACCAUGUGGGUGCUGGGACUUGAACCCCAGUCCUCUAGAAGAGCAGCUGGUAGGUACUCUUAACCACUGGACCAUCCCUCUAGACCCUGAUCAUGGUGUUUUAACUACAGCAAAAGAAAAGUAAUUAGCACAAUCAGGUUAGCCAGAGGGCACACCUGUGACAGAUUUUUCCUAAGUGCAUUCAUCAGGGGGAGGCCCACCCUGGAUGGGGGCAGCACCCUUCCUUGGGUUUGGGUCUUAGAAAGAAUAAACACAGAGAGGGAGCUGAGCACAAGCCAGCAAGCACAAGCUAAGCAAGCACUGUCCAGUCUUCCUCUGCUUUGACUGAGGAUGUGACGUGUCUAGCUGCUUCAGGUUUCUGCCUCGAAUCCCCUGCAGUCAUAGACUAUAACCUGGAAUUGUGAGCCAAAAGAAAAACAAAAGAAAACAAAAUCCAUUUUCUCCCCAUAUGUUGCUUUUUGGUCAAAGCAUUUGAUCCCAGUAACAGAAAAGAAAUGAGGACAGGCAAGAAGAGGCCAUACCACAGAGCCAGGAGCAGGUUGUAGUGCCAAGUUGCAGAGGCCGGGGAGGAGCAUAGGUGCAGAGCAGCCGCUGUCAGAAUGUUCAGGGAAAAGGAGAAGAGAGGAUGUGUCAGGGAAGUGAGCUGGCUCAGUCCAUAACAGCAUGGUCUUGCUGUCUUUUACAGGGUCUGAAGUCUACCUUAGUGCAGUGGGAGCCACUAACUGUCCUAGUAUGAAGGAAGGAUAUUGAUGUUUUUUGGGCAUGUAAGUGUGUGUGUGUGUGUGUGUGUGUGUGUGUCCCCAUACUCUAGGGACUGAGCCUCCUCACCCAUGUACCACACAGCUUCAGUCCCAGUCCCAUAUUUUGUUUUCAAUCAAACUUUAUACAAAUGUUUCUCAAGAAAAUUAUAAGUUACUUCUUUUAUUUCUCAUUAAUAAUAUUUUGGGG
rnacentral:lncRNA from 1 species